rnacentral:misc_RNA from 1 species
GAUGAAGAACGUAGCGAAAUGCGAUAAGUAAUGUGAAUUGCAGAAUUCAGUGAAUCAUCGAAUCUUUGAACGCACAUUGCGCCCGCCAGUAUUCUGGCGAGCAUGCCUGUUCGAGCGUCAUUUCACCACUCAAGCCUCGCUUGGUAUUGGGCAACGCGGUCCGCCGCGUGCCUCAAAUCGACCGGCUGGGUCUUCUGUCCCCUAAGCGUUGUGGAAACUAUUCGCUAAAGGGUGUUCGGGAGGCUACGCCGUAAAACAACCCCAUUUCUAAGGUUGACCUCGGAUCAGGUAGGGAUACCCGCUGAACUUAAGCAUAUCAAUAAGCGGAGGA